CGCGUUUUUCGCCCAGGCGGAGCUCGACCGCCGCAUCAAGUCCUGAAGGCGUUCAUCGACCAGCACCGCCAGCAGCUUGGGGUCGAGUCGAUCUGCCGCGUCUUGCAGAUUGCCCCA
rfam:Roseateles aquatilis strain CCTG 48205 Scaffold22_1, whole genome shotgun sequence.